rnacentral:lncRNA from 1 species
GUCUCCUGAGAAGGAAUGCAUUCAGCCUCGGCGAAUUGAAGGAAAAUUAUGGAACAUAGAAAUACAUGUUGUUUUGCCAAUUCGCCAGUUAGCAUUCCCCAUUCACCGCCUGUUAGCAUUCCCCAUUCACCGCCUGUUAGCAUUCCCCAUUCACCGUCUGUUAGCAUUCCCCAUUCACCGUCUGUUAGCAUUCCCCAUCUGUUAGCCUUCCCCAUUCACCGUCUGUUAGCAUUCCCCGUCUGUUAGCAUUCCCCAUUCACCGUCUGUUAGCAUUCCCCAUUCAAAGUCUGUUAGCAUUCCCCGUCUGUUAGCAUCCCCAUUCACCUUCUGUUAGCAUUCCCCGUCUGUUAGCAUUCCCCAUUCACUGUCUGUUAGCUAGUUGGGCCUCUCUUCCUCUCUGGGCUAACGCCGUUGAAAAAUCUAUCCCCCCCACCAGCAUGUGGCAUUAUUUUGUGUCGCCCACCAAGCAAGGAGUUUUGAAUUAGAUUUUUAAAAAUAUAUAUUGUGCUUAUUUUCUACAUGCUAAUUUAUCGAAUAGAAGUUAUAAUGCUUAACUUGUUACGAGUGUACUGAUAUAUAGCAAUUACGACAUCCCGGCAACUUGAGAAAAAAAAAAAACACUAUCGGAGUUGUCACGAGAUUGCUAUGCAUAUUCAUGGCAUAAGGCUACUAGUAUCUCCCUCCAAUUAAUACAGGCGGUUGAUGGCAACAACCCUCAUCGAAUUUUCAAAAAAGGAUUACAAUAAUGACCUGUAUCCACCAAUCCGAAGGAAGGAUAGGUGGGAGCUAGGAAACCCGCCGUGCCACUGUGUGGACAACCGUUCCCAUUGUUAGGGUGGAGACCUGUGUUUCUUAGUAUAUCGAUAAUCUUUGGUUAGCCUCCCCAUUCACUGUCUGUUAGCGAGUUAUUCAAAUUAUCCCGAAUGGUUGGACAUCUAUAGAAAAAUCAAGCGUUGUUU